AUUGAACGCUGGCGGAAUGCUUUACACAUGCAAGUCGAACGGCAGCACGGGGGCAACCCUGGUGGCGAGUGGCGAACGGGUGAGUAAUACAUCGGAACGUGCCCAGUCGUGGGGGAUAACGUAGCGAAAGUUACGCUAAUACCGCAUACGAUCUACGGAUGAAAGCGGGGGACCGUAAGGCCUCGCGCGAUUGGAGAGGCCGAUGUCAGAUUAGGUAGUUGGUGAGGUAAAGGCUCACCAAGCCGACGAUCUGUAGCUGGUCUGAGAGGACGACCAGCCACACUGGGACUGAGACACGGCCCAGACUCCUACGGGAGGCAGCAGUGGGGAAUUUUGGACAAUGGGCGCAAGCCUGAUCCAGCCAUUCCGCGUGCGGGACGAAGGCCUUCGGGUUGUAAACUGCUUUUGUACGGAACGAAAAGGCUCUGGUUAAUACCUGGGGCUCAUGACGGUACCGUAAGAAUAAGCACCGGCUAACUACGUGCCAGCAGCCGCGGUAA
rnacentral:rRNA from 1 species